rnacentral:rRNA from 1 species
CAGCUCUCCGAGUUGUAGGGAUGAUUAUUGGGCUUAAAGCGUCCGUAGCCGGCUUAGCAAGUCUCCUGUUAAAUUCAGCGACCUAAUCGUUGAGCCGCGGGAGAUACUACUAGGCUAGGAGGCGGGAGAGGUCGACGGUACUUUCGGGGUAGGGGUGAAAUCCUAUAAUCCCGGGAGGACCACCAGUGGCGAAGGCUGUCGACUAGAACGCGCUCGACGGUGAGGGACGAAAGCUGGGGGAGCGAACCGGAUUAGAUACCCGAGUAGUCC